UGUUCAUCCCAAUCUCAGAUAUAAUUUAGGCAGAGAAUGCAUUAAAACACAUUAUCGAUAAUAAAAUUGUUUUAUUAUAAAAAAUUAUAUCGAACGAUAUCGAAAAAUUGUACAUCCAUAGUUAAAUUAAAAAUCAAGCAUCUGCUAGACAAUUUUUUUUAACAAAUGCUUUCUAAAUUUGGAAAGAUAAUUAACAAAGCAUUAAAACCACCAUUGUGUCAAGAGCGCUGCACAGCAGCACUAUUGGGCCAAAACUUUACAUAUGAAAUUGAAAAAACGUUAUACAUACAUAUAUAAAUAUUUACAAAACAUUUUAAUUAAAAUUACCAAUUAGUUUAUUUUAAUUUAGUUUAGUAUAAAGUGACGUUCUUCUUUUUAGGGAGUUUAAUAACAAAAACAAAAUUAUAAUACUUUAGCAAUUAAUAUGAGUAACUAAGUGCAUAAAAAGUAAAUAAAAAUGUAUGAAAGUAACAUUAGUGACGAAAAAUUAAAAUAAAAGUAAACAAAUGAAGUUACAAACACAACAAAAAAAUGGUGCAAUAUUUUUGAAAUUUAAAUUUUUUUUUGUAUUUAUAUGUGUAAUAAUUUUAUCAUUUAAAUUUUAAAAAUUAUGAGUUUUCUAAUACGUUUCGCUGAACUUGUGGGCCAACUAAAAAUAUAUCAAAAUUUACAUUUUGUCACAAGCAACUGCUUCUCAAGACCAACUGAGAGCACAGCUAAGAAAACAACCAGAAAACAUUGCACAAACCUAUUGCUGCAACCAGCAACGAACGUGCGCGCUUGGUUAAACUCAUUCAAUACGUUCAUAGCAGAUGGCGAAGGCGUGCUCUGGAUCUACGAUAAACCAAUACCGGGUGCCAUUGAGGCUUUGAACCGUUUGAAAGCAUGCGGCAAGCAAAUCUAUGUUUGUACCAAUAAUUCCACGCAAACUCGACAACAACACACUUUUAAAGCAGAACGAUUGGGCCUGAAUAUACGUGAGAAUGAGUUGCUUUGUACGGCGCAUGCAACAGCGCAAUAUUUAAAAAAAUUGGAUUUCCUGCAAUACGCUUAUGUUAUUGGCGCUGAAGCGCUCACCACCGAAUUAGAUGCGGCUGGCAUUGUUUUACAUAACGAAAGUGGGCCAGAUAUUAUGUCUGAAACUGUUGAGAAGUACGCUGCACAAUUCCGUAAGGAACCGCAUGUGGGUGCAGUUAUUGUGGGUUAUGACAAACACUUCAGCUUUCCCAAGUUGGCUAAAGCGGUGACUUAUUUGAAAAAUGCGGAUUGCUUAUUCCUUGCUACCAAUAUGGAUGCAGGUUCACAUACAGCUGAAAUGGUCAUACCGGGCACGGGUAGUUUUGUCACUGCUAUUGACUAUUGUACGGAGCGUAAAGCGACCGUUAUUGGCAAACCAAGUGUACAUAUGUGUGCGCAGCAUAUACAAAAUGGACUUAUUGAGCCAGCAAAAACACUUAUGAUUGGCGAUAACUACGAAACGGAUAUGCCAUUUGGUCACAAUCUUGGUUUUCACACACUGCUAGUUGGCACUGGUACACAUACGUGGAGUGAUGUGUUGUACUUGCAGAAAUUGAAUGGCAAUUUAGUUAAGCAUUGUAUGCCAGAUGCAUAUAUACCGAAAUUGGCCGAUUUAAAUUACUUCCUGCCCCGCUAAAAUGCCAAUUUGUCAAAUUAUUUGUUUAGCGAAAGCUGGAAAGGCGACAGCGAUGAAAAUUUAUAAAUCAAACAAAACGCAAUGUCAUGCACAGAGAGCAGAGCGCUGUUAAAUUUUUGGUGUAGUAUGCGUCACUGUGAUUAAUUAUUGUAUAUUGUAUAUUGUAUAUUUUUAUUUAAAUUAAAAUUUAUGUUUUUUUUAAUAAUAAUAAAACAAAUUUCCCUUUUCACUUUAUUAUAAUACGAAACAUAUCAAAUUCGGAGAUAAUUAAUCGCAAAUAUUUCCACAGUUUUCUACUCUCUUUUCUUUAAAUGUCAAUGACAGAGAAUGCAUAAAUCAGCUGUUACAAAAACACCAAAUACAGUUGAAAAGCAAUGAUAAAAAAGUAACAACAAAAUAAGUGUAAUUUAUUGCAUUCUGCUGAUUUUGCAUUUCUUUGAAUCAGAAAUGAAUUUUAGAUGCUCUCUGCGAAUUAUAACAGAAUGAGAAAACAAAAAGGCAUGAAGUGAGUGCUCAAGUGAAAUUUGAUGAAUGGAGCAAAGGCAAUUGGAAAAGCUGAAAAUGCAAACGUCAAAGUCAAACAGAUAAGCGGAAAAUUAAAGAGCAAACGUUUUGUUAUCACUGCCAGCGGGAGGUGUGCUGGAUUCGUGGUAUACACAGCUUGGAAUAGAGCGGCAAACAGCAAGCGUAAAAUACAAAAAAAAAGUUCAAGUAUCUGCUGUACAAGCAAAGCUCGCGCUGAAGUGGUCACAAUUGUUGAAAAUCGAUAAGCGGUUUCGUCAAGGCAACGCACGUGUUGGGGAGCCAGACACUCGACGUACAUUGUCAUACACAUAUAUAUAGUAUAUUAGAGAUAAAUAGUAUAUAAUUGUAGCUACGGCAGGCGUGAGAGAGUGCCAACAAACGGCUGAUUGCCUGACUCACCCAACAUUUGGAAACCGAAAAGCGCCACUUUUGCCAUUGUGUGCUCUGCCAAAUGCUUUUGUUGCGCUCUGCUAUACUUCAAACAUGAUCGUGAAGGGCAAAAGAGCAAAAUAAAACGAGAAUUUAUAUGCGAUUUUUGCUCACAUCAAGAAAAAACUAAAGCAUGAAUUUUGUUCUGCCUCCUAAUAGAAAUUGUUUGCGGCCGUUUUAGUGGUGGUAUUGAAUGUGGCGACAGCAGUAGCGGUGUAGUAUUGGCAACCAAUAAAACAGUCAACGCAGUGGAUUCUACGCCUUUGGUUGUGUGCAUUUAAAACGGUGUUACACCACGCAAAGCGGAUAAUUAUACGCUAGCUAAACGACGCUGCUGUCAGCAAUACGGGUAACAAAGGUUCUAGCGUACUUAGUAACCACUAUAAGAAGAUGUAUAAACAAACUUGUACGAA